rnacentral:rRNA from 1 species
AUUAGACGUACCCGGGUACGUCCCAGCCGUAAACAAUGUGCGUUAGGUGUGUCGGUAACCACGUGUUACUGAUGCGCCGAAGAGAAAUCGUGAAACGCACCACCUGGGAAGUACGGUCGCAAGGCUGAAACUUAAAGGAAUUGGCGGGGGAGCACCACAACAGGUGGAGCCUGCGGUUUAAUUGGAUUCAACGCCGGACAUCUCACCGGAUAAGACAGCUGAAUGAUUGUCAAUCUGAAGGUUUUACAUGACUAGCUG